GGAUAAGCAGUGUUGAAACAUUUGGAAGCUCCUGCAGAUGCUGAAUAACUGACCUCCAGCCUCUGUUCCACCAGCCACAACUACAGCUUUGAUUGGAGAAGAGACUGAUUUCAGCCACUUUCUCCUGGUAUAAAAGCCUGCCGUUGGUGGAAAAGGAAAAGGUGGUCCAGUUAGACAAGAUGCCACCGGCUUCUGAAACCAGACAUCUUUGAAAACCCACCCAUCUACCUGCAGGAAAAGAGACAGGGUUUCACUAUGUUGGCCAGGAUGUUCAACAACUUCUGCCUUCAAGCGAUCUUCCCUCCUGGGCCUCCCCAAGUGCUGAGUUUACAAGCAUCAGCCACCACACCCAGCCUAUGACAUUUUCUUCAUUAUGGCUGGUACUGCCUCAUGAAAAGGGGGUUCCUCAUGCUGGAUCUGAACAACCCAGCACAGGCAAGUCUGGGGAGCAAGGCAGGAGCCUGCAUGUGGACUCAAAGGACCGGCACCCGAAACAAAGCAGUGGCUGGCACAGGUGGACAAACCAGGCAAGAAAAGCAACUGUCCUUCGGAGCAGAGUCCACGUGAUGGGAAGAAACAGACACAGUCUCACUCUGUUGCCCAGGCUGAAGUCAACGGCAUGAUCUCAGCUCACUGCAACCUCCACCUCCUGGGUUCAAGCAAUUCUCGUGCCUCAGCCUCCCAAGUAGCUUGGAUUACAGCUUUCUCUUUCCACAGGGUGGUUAGGAAGGUAGAAGGUAAUCCUGGAGCUUCCCGCCACCACGCAGGAGGAAUUUGCCUGAGAGCAAAGCCAGCAUAGAGAAGCAGAGCUGAGUCAUGGAGACAGGUGGCUGAAAGUUUCAUUUCGGCAUAUGGAUCUCACCAUUCCUGAAGCCACUUUCAACUCUUCAAUUUCAUAGCUAAUAAAUUCUC
ensembl:lncRNA LINC01531 long intergenic non-protein coding RNA 1531